rnacentral:tRNA from 1 species
GAUCCUAUAGUCAAUAUAUGAUAUUAGAUUGCAAGUCUGAAGUAGUAAUUAUACUAGGAUUU